GUUAGCUGACUCACUCCAUUAGGAGUUCAUGACCUGGCAGUAAACUAACGAAAAGAAACACACCCAAAGCCCCUUAGGAAAUUGAAAAAAAAAAGUGUCAUGAUGGAACAUGUGAAGAAGUUGCUGACAGUCUGCAAUGGAUUUCACAUGAAAAUAUCCACAACUUGGAAUACUUUUAUGAAAAACCCCUUUAAAGCUCUUGAUCGGCGGGGCUAGGCUAUAUGGACUAAUAUAAAGAAUGGAGGACAGACAGACAAUCGGAUUUGAACAUUUAAAAGAUGACCAGGAAACUCUUCUUGGAUGCUUUUGGGCAGGGCCCAGGUUGAAGUCCAUUCUCCAUCCUUCCCUUGCCCCUGCUUCAGACCAUAAUCCAUUGAUUUUGCUACAGAACUCCAUCAAAUAAAGCGGCGCUGAUUGAGGCAGGGUCAAUGCAGAGAUGCCCCCCCCCCCUGUCUUCAGCGUGACGUGGCUAUCUCAAGUGAAAUGAGCUGGAAAAGCUGCUGUCAUGAGGUGGCAAAGGAGACCGAGAGCCACGAGGGAAAUGGAUUGUAGUCAGAGCCAGAUCUG